rnacentral:rRNA from 1 species
CUGGUUGAAUUCUGCGAGCACGGCCAGACUUGGGACCGGGAGAGGUGUGGGGUACGCUCAGGGUAGGGGUAAAAUCCUGUCAUCCUGAGCGGACCACCUGUUGCGAAGGCGCCACACUAGGACGGAUCCGACGGUCAGGGACGAAGCCUAGGGGCACGAACCGGAUUAGAUACCCGGGUAGUCCUAGGUGUAAACGCUGUGGACUUGGUGUUGGGGAUUCUCCGAGGAUUCUCAGUGCCGAAGCGAAGGUGAUAAGUCCACUGCCUGGGGAGUACGGUCGCAAGGCUGAAACUUAAAGGAAUUGGCGGGGGAGCACCGCAACCUGAGGAUUGUGCGGUUUAAUUGGAUUCAACGCCGGAAAACUCACCAGUGCCGACGGACAGAUGAAAGCCAGUGUGAUGAGCUUGCUGGAUUGUUCGAGAGGUAGUGCAUGGCCGCCGUCAGUUCGUACCGUAAGGCGUUCUGUUAAGUCAGAUAACGAACGAGACCCUCAUCCCUAUUUGCUAAGGUCUGUCCGCAGAUCACAGGACUAUAGGGAGACCGCUGGCGAGAAGUCAGAGGAAGGUGAGGGCAACGGUAGGUCAGUAUGCUCCGAAUGCACUGGGCUACACGCGCAAUACAAAGGACGGGACAAUGGGCCGCUGCUCCGAGAGGAAAGAUGGCUAUCCCGAAACCCGUUCGUAGUUCGGAUUGAGGGCUGUAACUCGCCCUCAUGAAGCUGGAUUAGGUAGUAAUCGCGUCUCAAAAAGGCGCGGUGAAUAUGCCCCUGCUCCUUGCACACACCGCCCGUCAAACCAUCUUAGUUGGGGG